AGUGAACGCUGGCGGUAGGCCUAACACAUGCAAGUCGAACGGCAGCACAGUAAGAGCUUGCUCUUACGGGUGGCGAGUGGCGGACGGGUGAGGAAUACAUCGGAAUCUACUUUUUCGUGGGGGAUAACGUAGGGAAACUUACGCUAAUACCGCAUACGACCUACGGGUGAAAGCAGGGGAUCUUCGGACCUUGCGCGAUUGAAUGAGCCGAUGUCGGAUUAGCUAGUUGGCGGGGUAAAGGCCCACCAAGGCGACGAUCCGUAGCUGGUCUGAGAGGAUGAUCAGCCACACUGGAACUGGGACACGGUCCAGACUCCUACGGGAGGCAGCAGUCGGGAAUAUUGGACCAUGGGCGCAAGCCUGAUCCAGCCAUACCGCGUGGGUGAAGAAGGCCUUCGGGUUGUAAAGCCCUUUUGUUGGGAAAGAAAAGCAGCAGGUUAAUACCCCGCUGUUCUGACGGUACCCAAAGAAUAAGCACCGGCUAACUUCGUG
rnacentral:rRNA from 1 species